rnacentral:rRNA from 1 species
CCUACGGGUGGCAGCAGUGAGGAAUAUUGGUCAAUGGGCGGAAGCCUGAACCAGCCACGCCGCGUGAAGGAAGACGGCGCCAGGCGUCGUAAACUUCUUUUGUCGGGGAACAAAGUGCGCCACGUGUGGCUUUGUGCAUGUACCCGAAGAAAAAGCAUCGGCUAACUCCGUGCCAGCAGCCGCGGUAAUCCGGAGGAUGCGAGCGUUAUCCGGAUUUGUUGGGUUGAAAGGGUGCGUAGGCGGUCCGGAAAGUCAGCGGUAAAAGCCCGGGGCUCAACCCCGGCGAGCCGUGGAAACUGGUGGACGAGAGAUGGGGAGAAGUAAGCGGAAUGCGCGGUGUAGCGGGGAAAUGCAUAGAUA